rnacentral:tRNA from 1 species
GGGGCUGGGGCUCAGUGGCAGAGCGCUUGUCUAGCAUGCAAGGCCCUGGGUUCGAUCCUCAGCACCA